ACCCCUGUGAGAAUGCCCCACAGUUUUCUGUCCGAAAACAAGGAGCCGGUAUCAGGCACAACCCUAACUUAACGAAAUGAAGCCCACGACGCCUUGCUUAGCCACACCCCCAAGGGAAUUUCAGCAGUGAUAAACCUUAAGCUAUAAGUGAAAACUUGACUUAGUUAAAGCUAAGAGGGCCGGUAAAACUCGUGCCAGCCACCGCGGUUAUACGAGAGACCCAAGUUGACAGAAACCGGCGUAAAGCGUGGUUAAGGAAAACUAAAACUAAAGCCGAAUCCCUCCAGAGCAGUUAUACGCAUCCGAAGGCACUAAGCCCCACCACGAAAGUGGCUUUACAUCCCCUGACCCCACGAAAGCUAUGACACAAACUGGGAUUAGAUACCCCACUAUGCUUAGCCGUAAACUUUGAUAGAAAAAUACACCCUCUAUCCGCCCGGGUACUACGAGCAUUAGCUUAAAACCCAAAGGACUUGGCGGUACUUUAGACCCCCCUAGAGGAGCCUGUUCUGUAACCGAUAACCCCCGUUCAACCUCACCCUCCCUUGUUUAACCCGCCUAUAUACCGCCGUCGUCAGCUUACCCUGUGAAGGAUCAAUAGUAAGCAAAAUUGGCACCGCCCAGAACGUCAGGUCAAGGUGUAGCGCAUGAGAGGGGAAGAAAUGGGCUACAUUCGCUAACUUAGCGAACACGAACGAUGGCCUGAAAACGUCCAUCCGAAGGAGGAUUUAGCAGUAAGUGGGAAAUAGAGUGUCCCACUGAAGCCGGCUCUAAAGUGCGCACACACCGCCCGUCACUCUCCCCAAUUUACCCCCUAAGCGUUAAUAAACAAUAAAGUCAAAAUGAGGGGAGGCAAGUCGUAACAUGGUAAGUGUACCGGAAGGUGCACUUGGAAAAAU
rnacentral:ncRNA from 1 species